rnacentral:rRNA from 1 species
CCUACGGUGACGCAGCAGUGGGGAAUAUUGGACAAUGGGCGAAAGCCUGAUCCAGCCAUGCCGCGUGUGUGAAGAAGGCCUUCGGGUUGUAAAGCACUUUCAGUGGGGAAGAAAGCCUUGGGGCUAAUACCCUCGAGGAAGGACAUCACCCACAGAAGAAGCACCGGCUAACUCCGUGCCAGCAGCCGCGGUAAUACGGAGGGUGCGAGCGUUAAUCGGAAUUACUGGGCGUAAAGCGCGCGUAGGCGGUCUGAUAAGCCGGUUGUGAAAGCCCCGGGCUCAACCUGGGAACGGCAUCCGGAACUGUCAGGCUAGAGUGCAGGAGAGGAAGGUAGAAUUCCCGGUGUAGCGGUGAAAUGCGUAGAGAUCGGGAGGAAUACCAGUGGCGAAGGCGGCCUUCUGGACUGACACUGACGCUGAGGUGCGAAAGCGUGGGUAGCAAACAGGAUUAGAUACCCUAGUAGUC